UAAUGGUACAUUUAUAGCAGAAAUGCGAGCUGUGGUAGGGAGAAUCACCACCUCUGAUGGUAUCUUCAUUUUUGAACAGUACUGCCACUGAAGAAAACUAAUAAUGAAACAUAGGAUUAACAAAUUGAAACCUAACCUAUACACAUAAAUUAGAGAACAAACUAUGCAUUUUGCUUGACAAAUACAUGAACUUAUCCUUCUUAAGUUCUCAAACAAUGACAUGUGUUGGCUUAGCAUCAUAAAUUAUAAUAUCACCUUGUGCAUGAACAACAGCUAUGUGGCCUUGCCAUGUUACACAAGCAUAUGUUGAUAACAAAGAUUUAGCCAUGUCUGUAAGACCAAAGCCCAGAAUCAUAUUUGCUGCAAGCAAUUAAUCAAUAAUAACAACUUCAAAUACUAGUACCAGCUAGCAGAAAUACACACAUAUUUGCUUUUGAUGAUACUACUGCUAAGAUAGAUGCCUAGUCCUUAAAAACUGAAUUCAAACCAUCACAUGCAGGUCCAAUAGCAUAUAAUAUUACACUUAACAUCCUUUGACUAACCAGAGACCUCAUGUUAUCUAGAGAAUUUCUAAACACUACUAGGUACUCUAUUUGAAUUAAGAUCAUCACAUAAAACUGAGGACCUCAUAUGAUGCGCAUGGCCCAAAACCUAUUGAUUUCUUCUAUCAAGAAUCAAGAGAUGGUAUUCAAUCUAGAAUGGAUUCCUGUACUGAUAACUUUAAAGCUCAGUGGCUCUUUGACCUUAUCCUAACUAUCUAUAUGAAAGAAUAAUAAUCUCAACUCUUCAAAAAUUCUAAGCAAAAGGAUUUCACCCUCCCAUUCAGACUACGAAUACUCCAGUACAACAAAUAUGCAUAAUUUUAAAUCUGCCGUGGAGUGCUGCAGAAUCAAUCAUAUUAAGAUUACUUCAGUUUUACUUACAUUGUUUCUUCAUCUUCUUUUCAGGUGAAAGAGAUCCGUGGCAAGAGAGCCGGUAUUGUCGAAGUAAAAAAGGCAAUUCACCGCAUAUUCUCGCAAUAUUAAUUUCUAAUAGUAACACUUAAAAGAUGGCACAAAUAAUCUGGUAGAAAAUGAAGUUCAUUUAUCUAUGAUCUAUGUGUAAUGUCAAUGACUACUGUUGAUACAGAGUUCUUAUGGCAGGCUAAGGAUAUAUGUAUUCCACCACAACAAGAGUAAAUAUGUGAUCAGGUCAAUGUUAACAGUUUUCAUGACUUCGUUUGACCUUUAAGAUUGUUUGGCAAAGGAAGCCCAAAGUUAUAGGAAAUGACAUAACUGUAGCUCUCCCUGAAAUCUGUUGAUCUCCUGACAAUGUACUGCAAGGCUUGAAAUCAUUCGAUGUUAGUCCCAUGCAAUUCUUAAUUUUGCUGUUUCUUCUUCUUCUUAGGUAUCGUGCCUUUAUCUGCAAGAUUUCAGCCAACCAUCCUCUUCUUCCAUGAACAAAAAGAGACCAUCUCCAACUCUUCUUUCAAUCGCCCAACCCUGAUCAUUAAGUAGAAACUUGUCUGCAUCUAUCAAUUGGGUUUCAUAUGAUCUUAGUACUAACUUUUUUUUCUUCUGUCGUAUUCUCAUCCAAAUCUAUACCACAUACUACUUUAUGACUGGUUAGUUGAGAACUUACACCAAUAGAGAUUGACUCCAAUCUACCUAGAAUCUUUAAGGAACCCUGACCAUCUAUAUAAUUCACCUUCCACUUUGUAGGAAUGUUACUCCAUACCUCCUUUAUUUUGUAGGGUUGACAUAAUUUCAGUUACAGCAAAAAUGUUAAGGACUUCAUAAGUCAGCAAAUUUGUUGACCAUACUUGAUCGAUAAUGGACUAUAAUAUUCCAAAAAUUUCUUUUCUUUUUUUUUUUCACAAUCUGAUGAAUGGUAAAGUAAGCUUUGCUCACCACAAACUUAAGCAAGUGAAAGAAAGUCAUCAAGUUUCUCAUAAAAUUUGAAGAUGGCAUUUUAGCUUCCUGUCACAAGAAAGCAUUGCCACGUUAGCAUAUUGGAACAACUUUUUGCAAGUAAAAAAGCAAUCUUCUCCUUCCUAAGACAGAUUUCUUGUGAAUGCAUUAAUAAGCAUUGUAACAUCUAUUGUCUGAAAUGCCUGUUCUUCAAUGUUCCAGCAUAAAAUUCAAGUACCCAGACAGAGGCAAGAUUCUACUCAGAAUAUAAUAGUAAGAUUUUGAAAAUUUGUAUAAUAAAGCAGCUCAAGAUUUGCUUGCAAAAGAGAAAAUGAAUAAACAAAUACAAGUCUACAUUGGAUCUCAAUAAAAAAGAAAAGAAAUGAAAACAUGUUGAAAACUAACUAAUUGCGUCACUUUAAAUAUAAUAUUCACAUAUCAUGUGGAAAUUUAUGCAAAUAAUAACAUUGGUUUGGAACCAUAAAGAAGAUACAAGUAUGCAUCCUCAACAGACAUUGCACAAAAUUACUCUCCCUAUGCAAAAUUUAAAUAAAUAGACUCCAAAGAAACUGUAUCCAUGUUACGAAUUUGUGUAGACCAGCUAUUACAUAUGCUGGGCAUCGGCACAGCAAGAACAUGAUUGCUUGUUCCAUCUUAAAGUCAUAACACUCAGGAAAAAAUGCAACACCAUGUGUUUUGUAAGAUGUUAAAAUGGCAUUAACUACUAGAAGUAAAAGUCAUACAAUACCCUAAUCACUUCUCCGUAUUGAGAACUAAAGAGAAAACAAAAAAUAACUCCUACGUCAUGUCAAACAUUCUCAUUUAAAUCUGUAACUAAUAUUUAUAUAUCUACACUUCAAGCAACACUUUGACAUAUAGUUUGAAGCAAUAAAAUAGGUUGUCUAACUAAAAGGUCUCUCUCAGAGAUACAAAAACAGUGAUGAGCUAAACUCAAUACAAUUUCAUGAGUGAUGGUUAUCAGAGCAUGUAAAUGAGCUGCAUAUAUCAAUGACAUAUUAAACAGGACUAACAAUAGGUUGCAAGGGACUGGAUGCUUCUCAAAUACAAGGAUUCGGCAUCAGAUAUGGUGUCCAUGCUAGUUAGUGGUAUGCACAAUAAGCUUAUUUUAUUGUAUCGAGCCAAAACUUGGCACACACUGGUACGGAAAGAUACAAGAGUAGCAUCACAAUAAGACAUGAAAGUUGCACACAUACUGCACAUAGUAGCUUUACACCACAAUAAGAACUAUGGAAGAAUAUGUUGUACAUGUUUAGACAUCAAAGGGUAUUUAGCAUUACAUGCAUACUGCUCCUAAUUGUGGGCAUCUCCUAUAGGAUUUCAAAUCCUUACAAUGAUUAAAAAGGUAAAACAUGUAGAGUUGUGGUCCAGAGAGUCUGGGAACAUAGGAUGUCGGACAUAAGUUUUAAAGAAAAACUAGUUUAUAACCCCAUAACACUAUGUAUCGGCCAGUAUUAUUAUAUAUUGAAGAAAAAUCCAUUAGUAUAGACCAAGGUUAGCCUUAUGGUACUGGACCCCAUACUAGUGCCAAUUCAUUACUUUGCCAGUACGGGGCCGGUUCGGCACACUGAAUGUCGGUAUGCCCCCCAUAUGGUAUUCCAGUAACAAACCAGUAUGCUACAGUACGUUCCAUACCAUUCAGUUCAGUCUAAUAUGGCAAACCUCGACACGGACCAAUAUGCACUGAGGCAGUUGUGUACUGAUGGCAUAGAGGUGUCUACCUUCAUAUCAUGUGGAUAACCUGCUGGUAUGGCUCACCUCAUAUGAUACAACACAAAUCGGCGCUCUAGUUCUUAGUUCAAAUUUAGGACUUCCAAGUGUAUUCAACUUAAAUGACAUCUGUCAUAUUACAUACAUACAUAUCAAAGACUUAGAGGUACUUAAAUUAGAUAAAUUGAAAAGUUCACAUUCACUAGACUAAACAUCAAACAGUUUACAUUCACAUAGACUAAACUUCAACAUAUAAAACCAAGUCCUUUAAAAUGGUCGCACAUCAGGAUUGAUCUAACGACCAUUAAGCAUCAGCAAGGCGUGAUUUACAACAGGUUCAUCUAGAGAAGCUUUUACUGACUCCGUAUUCAUAUAAAACUCUAGAAUUUAUUCCUCAGGUGCCGUCUUUUAACACUUGAAAGACCAUAAGCUUAGGUUUCUCAUGGAAUAUAGAACAUCCUCUGCUUGAUUUACCUUUAUUUCAUUCCCCUUCUUCUUAACAUUCAAAAUUCUGAGAAUGUGGUUCAAUUUUCCUCUCAAGAAGAAAACAAUCACGACGAUAUAGCAAACUAAAAUGCAUUAAUUUCAUAAAUAGCAACCCACGCAAACCUAAUCAGCAUCCAUUACAAAACUCACCUUGUUACUGCAUUUUCUUCUCUUUUAAGGUUUUCAGCAUUUCCUUUUACCCCCCAGCAAUGGCAUCAUCUGCACGUUAUAAGAUUUUUAGAAAAAUGCAAAUAUAAUUUUCAAACCCCUUACUUGGAUGAUCUACCUGGCUUGACCUCGAAUCUCGGAGAAUCGAGGUUGUCUACCAGACUAAAAUAAACACUAGAUAAUCAAAAUCUUUGUAAGAAAAUACGAUUUUGAAAGCAACUUGUGAAACAAGUCACCAUUUUUCGCAAACACUGCUAAAACCAACCGAGGCCCGCUGGACGAGACUAGCAAGCUAUUGAUCGCAACCCAGCCUUGACAGCUAGCUCCUACACGACCAAGGGUCCAUAAGAGAACAAGGGUUUGCUCAGUUAUUUCUCUCAUUCAUAUGGUUUAGGUACAGUGCGUUGCUCUUUGCUCUUUAUUUUCCUUUUUCCCCGUGCUGAAAGGGAGGGGGAGGUGCUCCGAUACCCUGCUUUCUCUGUCAAGGGCGAGGGCGAGGGCGAGGGCGAGCAUUAUUUUAGUUACUUUCUUCCAAGUUUUUCAUUUAGAUUUAUUUAUCACACUCAAAUUAGUCUGAGUCCUUUUAAAUCUUUAUUUUCUGAGUACUUUGGAAUCCC
rnacentral:lncRNA from 1 species